rnacentral:lncRNA from 1 species
GCCCCUCCUGCUUACACGCUUAGUCAUAAUUACUUACCUCAGCGGCACCAGCCGUGUGGUAGGAGCUUAGCUGAACAGAGAGGAGAAUCAGCAGGCACAUCACCUUGAGUUUGACCUGUCAGCCAGAUUUCACAGCACCUGCCUGGUUAGCCCGAGGGCUGUGAUUCACCCCCUCAGGAAAGGAGCUGUGAGGUCCUGUCCUGGAGCAGAAACCCCUCCUGGAGGAUAGUUGGAGAGAUAGUGAUGAAUCAGGCAUCUCUAGCUAUUAGCAUGCCUGCCAUGCUCGCCCCACGUGUGGAAGGCUACCAGGAAGAGGAGAUGGCAGGCUUGUUAAAGGAGAGAAAAAUGAGGGCCUUUUCAUGAGGUCAGGUGACUUCUGAGGUUGGAUCAGCUGGCCAGCCCACCGAAGAUAACGUUCCAAGGAGGAACUAAAAGAAGCACUUGGCUCCUGCGGAGCCCCAGCCAGGCACAGCCUUCUGCUAUAUCCCCAGACCUCAGUUCUCCAUGAACUCUCUAUGCCCAGUGCCUUGUAUGCCCAUUUCCUUGAAGGGGUCCUGGAAGACUCUGCGGACACCACAGCCCAGCUAGAUGGAUUGAUUGGGAAUUUCUGGGUAGAAGUCACCUUGGGUUCAAAUGGAUCCUGCCUGCUUGCCAGAACAAAGAGGUAUCAUCUCCCAUGUCCAACUACUACUAGGGAGAAGGCCCUGUCUGGCUGCUCAGGCCAGAGAAAUUCAGCUGAAAUAGACAACAGAGAUCCUCUCGGUCAGAAGUUACAGUUGUUCUCAGAAGUGACUGUUGUCACAUGUUAUUUAUUGGGAUCCAAAGUGAGGUUUCCCUCAGCCACCAUGUCUGCUGCCUGGGUGAAUGAUCUUCCA